GCUCCUGUAGCCCAAUCGGCAGAGGCGGCGGUUUCAGGAACCGUUGGUUGGGGGUUCGAAUCCCUCCAGGAGUA
rnacentral:tRNA from 1 species